ensembl:lncRNA
UUAAGGAGAGUCUGAGAGAGCUGGGACUGUUUAGCCACAAUAGAGUGGUAGGAACUAGAAUAUAUUUAGGGUACCUUCCAACUCUAGACAGCCUAUGAAUCUCUGGUUCUAUGGUUCCAUGAUGUGUAAGAGCUGGAACUAGCUGAGGACGCAGUCAACGUGCAAGGUUUGUUUGCUGCCCCUGUGUCACCAAUUGUGACACAGCAGAACUCACCACAGGCUCCAGCAGAGCCUGCUGCCUGUGCCUUACGAGCAGGUCCCUGGAAUGCCGGCAUGGAUACGCAGCACUCUCUGAAGGGCUUUGCUUUGCUGUUAACGACAUCAGGGCACUUAGGAUCAUGAGCAAUUGCCUUCCUUCUCUGGUUGCCUCGUUGCCUGGAAUAAUCAUCAUUUGUGGCCUGAUUGCUUUGUUCUGCAUUGUGAUUUUCGACCCCACACCUGCUCGUGGGCAAACGAGGACUGUUAAGUUCAGAGAGCCAGAAAAGAUUGAAUGUGGUAUCUGUAAUGCAAUUGCCAAACCAAAUGCACCUCAAGAAGACGUUGAAUUUGAUUCAGAUGGUUUGGUAUUCAAGGUGGAGAAGGAGAUCAGUCCUGACUCCAUUGUGUCUCAGAAAGUAAGAUGGUAGAAGGGGCAACCUUCAGGAAACACAUCUCUGAAACAAUCAACCACUCAGCUUCUCUCCCACUGUGGCUCUUCUGGAAUAAAUGAGGUGAGUUCAUGUCUUCUUAGGUCUGU